UCCAAACUUCAAAUGGCUCCAAAAGGUGAUAGUGUAACUGGGCUGGGCACGAAGAGCCUGUUCACACAUAAUUAGGUUUGCGGCAGAACCUAUCAGCGAGAGGUUUCCAGCAACUGUGCUAACCCAUGCCAGGAUGAGCCAAGCUUUCUUAUCUUCACUAGGAGGAAGUGACUGCUGAAGAUGGAGCUCUGGAGCUGCUACUGAAGACGAAGUACAACGGUCUCACCCUUUGUUUCUCUCUUCUGUUCGUUCGUCCCCUGUCUUUGUGUGUCUCCCUGUGUAGUUUUUUUGUCUUCUCUCUCUACUGGUUUUCCCGUCCGCGUUCUCUCUGGUUUUUUUUGUCUUACUCCCUCCUUCGUUCAUGGCCCUUCCAUAUAAUGAGGCGACCGACCGUUGUUAAUGCAGGAGCUGCAUCGUGGGCAGCUGGCAGGGGCGUUUCUUUCCCCUGGCUUGGUGAGAUGAGGAAGAUAAAUAGUCUUCAGUGAAACGGCGCCGUUUUCCCAAUUCAAAUGGCUUUGGUCAUUGAAUAAAGUUUUGAGAUUUUGUGAUCAA